UACGUAAGUGGCGAGCGUUAUCCGGAAUUACUGGGCGUAAAGCGUGCGUAGGCGGUUUAGUGUGUGGGACUUGAAAGCCCGGGGCUCAACUCCAGAUCCGGUUCCCAAACUGCUAGACUCGAGAGUAUCAGAGGAGAGCGGAAUUCCCGGUGUAGCGGUAAUAUGCGUAGAUAUCGGGAGGAACACCAGUGGCGAAGGCGGCUCUCUGGGGUAUUUCUGACGCUGAGGCACGAAAGCCAGGGGAGCGAACGGG
rnacentral:rRNA from 1 species